GGCGGACGGGUGAGUAAUGCUUGGGAAUGUGCCUUAUGGUGGGGGACAACAGUUGGAAACGACUGCUAAUACCGCAUAAUGUCUUCGGACCAAAGUGGGGGACCUUCGGGCCUCACGCCAUAAGAUCAGCCCAAGUGGGAUUAGCUAGUUGGUAAGGUAAUGGCUUACCAAGGCGACGAUCCCUAGCUGGUUCGAGAGGAUGAUCAGCCACACUGGGACUGAGACACGGCCCAGACUCCUACGGGAGGCAGCAGUGGGGAAUAUUGCACAAUGGGCGCAAGCCUGAUGCAGCCAUGCCGCGUGUGUGAGGAAGGCCUUCGGGUUGUAAAGCACUUUCAGUAAGGAGGAAAGGUUAAGUGUUAAUAGCACUUAGCUGUGACGUUACUUACAGAAGAAGCACCGGCUAACUCCGUGCCAGCAGCCGCGGUAAUACGGAGGGUGCGAGCGUUAAUCGGAAUUACUGGGCGUAAAGCGUAC
rnacentral:rRNA from 1 species